rnacentral:misc_RNA from 1 species
CGGCCCACAAGAACACUUGAGAUGAACACUAACCAAAAUGUCUUAAAGUACAGUACCGUUCUUGAGUUAUAACAAUGACCAUUCAAAGGAAAAGGUGAAUGAAGAGAUAGGAGUGAGAAUUCAAUUGUGUUCUACAAGGAUAAAUUACCCAGUGAUCCAAUCCCCCUCCCCCCUUCCCCACAAAAACCCACCAUAAAAUUAAGACAUUCACUUGAUACACACGAACAGCAAAGAAACGCCUGUAAAGGAUCAUAACAUUUCUUGUGAUUUUCU